ACGCUCGACACCUACGGGAGGCAGCAGUGAGGAAUAUUGGUCAAUGGGCGCUAGCCUGAACCAGCCAAGUAGCGUGAAGGAUGAAGGCUCUAUGGGUCGUAAACUUCUUUUAUAUAAGAAUAAAGUGCAGUAUGUAUACUGUUUUGUAUGUAUUAUAUGAAUAGGAUCGGCUAACUCCGUGCCACAGCCGGGUAAUCUGAGCGGGCUGGCAAGGC
rnacentral:rRNA from 1 species